rnacentral:rRNA from 5 species
AAAUUGAAGAGUUUGAUCAUGGCUCAGAUUGAACGCUGGCGGCAGGCCUAACACAUGCAAGUCGAACGGUAACAGGAAGCAGCUUGCUGCUUUGCUGACGAGUGGCGGACGGGUGAGUAAUGUCUGGGAAACUGCCUGAUGGAGGGGGAUAACUACUGGAAACGGUGGCUAAUACCGCAUAACGUCGCAAGACCAAAGAGGGGGACCUUCGGGCCUCUUGCCAUCAGAUGUGCCCAGAUGGGAUUAGCUUGU